rnacentral:rRNA from 1 species
CCUACGGGAGGCAGCAGUAAGGAAUAUUGGUCAAUGGACGCAAGUCUGAACCAGCCAUGCCGCGUGAAGGAUUAAGGUCCUCUGGAUUGUAAACUUCUUUUAUCUGGGACGAAAAAAGGCGAUUCUUCGUCACUUGACGGUACCAGAUGAAUAAGCACCGGCUAACUCCGUGCCAGCAGCCGCGGUAAUACGGAGGGUGCAAGCGUUAUCCGGAUUCACUGGGUUUAAAGGGUGCGUAGGCGGGCAGGUAAGUCAGUGGUGAAAUCCUAGAGCUUAACUCUAGAACUGCCAUUGAUACUAUCUGUCUUGAAUAUUGUGGAGGUAAGCGGAAUAUGUCAUGUAGCGGUGAAAUGCUUAGAUAUGACAUAGAACACCUAUUGCGAAGGCAGCUUACUACGCAUAUAUUGACGCUGAGGCACGAAAGCGUGGGGAUCAAACAGGAUUAGAUACCCUGGUAGUCCACGCCCUAAACGAUGAUUACUCGACAUUUGUGAUACACUAUAAGUGUCUGAGCGAAAGCAUUAAGUAAUCCACCUGGGAAGUACGACCGCAAGGUUGAAACUCAAAGGAAUUGACGGCUGAGAGNGCGAGGACGACGACGAGGGAGGAGG